rnacentral:lncRNA from 1 species
UGAAAAGUGCUGGGCUUUAUAGCUAGCUGCAUCGUUGAAACGUAAGCGUCCAUAUUCGGAUACACGCAGACUGUGUGACAAACGGAGGAAUAAAACCAGGAUAAAUAUCGGCCAGGCGUUUACGAGAUGGAGAGAGCUGCGCGAAAAUCUUGGACUUGACAGAGACUCUGCUCUCGCGAGUGUAUUGAUAGACAGGUUAUGACAGACUUCACAGGUUGAUGCAGGAGAAGAUGAACGAAGCAUGAGGGAACAUCUCCGAGCAAUAAAGGAGGAAACAGAGAUGCUUAGACCAAACGUAGAGCUUAAAGAAAGGAGGGCACUGAUGAAAAUCUACCAGAGAAAUUUUGUGUCUAACCACAGCACGGAGGAGAUUAUCUCUGAGUUUCCAUGUUUCAGACUGGCCAAAAUGCUCCUUUGGGAUAUGAGAGACCAUACCAUCGUUGAUGUGGACCAACAUAUUAUCUCUCAACUCUCAUUAAUGGCACCUAAAGUCCUUCAAGUUUCACAGAGUCCCCUGAUGGAGAAGUUCAGGUGUGUGGUUGAUGACUGUGAAGAUGACAGACUGACAAAAGGACUACAGUUGGAAGCAGCUGUUCUGCUCUUGCCUGCACUGUUUAAGGAGCUCCCGGGGUUGCUGUUUGAAGUUGAGGGUCAUGCUCAGACCUGCCCUCCUGACACACCAACACCUAAAAUGGUGCUCAAAGGCUGCAGGGAGGGUCAUCCCAUGCAAUACGAUCACAUCUCGAUGACACUGGGCCUUAUCCUUUGUAUAUAUUUUCUGUUUGGGAUCCAAUAUCCUAAAGGACUGAAAAAGACACUGACCUUCCUGGAGUGUGUUGUUUUAAAAAUGAAGGAUGCAGCACGGACUUCCUGUCACAAUUAAAAGAGUGUAAAAUUCAAUCUGUGCAUAGAGACACACACUCUCUCUCUCUCUCUCUCUCUCUUUUUCUCUUUCUGGGGCCUAUUCCAAUUUAUAUAUUUUUUCCUUCUAUUUUUUUCUAACUCCUUUAGCCAGUGUUGUUAAUGUUAUAAAGCACUGAUUAUAUUUGAAACUAAAAGAAAUGAAUUAAACUAUAUUAAAAGUGUAAUGUAUUUUGUUUAUCAGUAAGCUUUUAGUACAGGAUUUUGAAUCUUUCAAUCCACGAUUUGGUAUAAAAGCGUCAUUUAGAAGCAUAUUGACUCAAACAUUGUAGUAUAUGGCAUGAUAAUGGCCUACUACCUAAAAAAAAGGUUCUGUAAAGCAGCAUUUGACAAAUGUGCUGUGAAGCUUAAGUGCCAAUAAUGCCAAAAGAGGUUCCCCUAUAACGAGCAAAAGAACCACUCUUGAGCACCAUUUUUAUUGAAGAAAUUGUAAACAAUCAAGGUGCUUUAUGGCACCUCUU